GACAAAAUGAGAUAUUUUGUUAGACUUUCAGACAUAAGAAGAUUCCAAAAAAAAAAAAGACAAACUCCUCUCGGCGAUUGUUCAAACGAAUGGGUUCUUCCUCGAUUCCAAACUGCAUGAUCUCCAGCAUAAACGGAAUAGAUCCGACUAAAUCGUGGACGAUCUAAGACUUUCAAAGGAAGAUCUUGGUUACCUCGUUCGAUUUGACCAAAAACGAUGAAGAUCGACGAACUCCCACAAAAGAUCUUCAUCAGAUCCGUAAGGGAUUGUAUUACCUAUAUUAAUAUUGCUGUGUGAUGAAGACGUGGCUAAGACUAUAUUCUUCACAGGAAUUAUUACAACAUGGACAACACAAUUUGAAAGUUAGUAAAUGGGAGUCCACUAACAUGGAUACAAAGGAUAAAAACUUACCAUUAAGCAAUAAAGUCUGAGAAGCUACAUCUGGAUAUUGCGAAACUGCGCAAAAUCUUUGGGGAGAUAUAUAUGACAUUGGAGACCUCGAGCUAGUAAAACUACUAUGAGACACAACGUACUUUCAGAGAAAAUUCAGAUUCCAAAUACAACAAUCAUAGAGAUGUCAUACUUCAUUGGACAACAACAUGAUCUUAAAGUCAAAGAUAAGUUACUUCCUCCAAAUAUUUUUUCCUUUUACAUUUAUAUGUAAGUGUAAUUUCCAUAUAAAUAUAACAUGAUUAGUUAUAGAUUUAAUCACAUGUGUUUUUUUAGGAGGUUAAAAUUGUAUAAAUUAGAUUGCAAACUGAAACUGGUACUGAUGAUAAAAACAUGAUAUAUUUUUUUGGUUUGUUGAUUGAAGUAUGGUGUUUUUUUAUGUCUACGAUUUUGUUAAAAGGGUUAAUUUUUUCUUUCUUUUCAGGAAUAAUGUACUCUCGGAGAAGAUGUUAUAUUCCAAAUACGUCUAUGGACAACAACAUGAUUUUAAAAUCAAAGAUAAGUUAGUUCCUCCUAAUUU